UUUUGUUUUGUAAUUGUUUAUUGCUGGUACAGAGAAAUACACCUGAUUUUUUGUGUGUGUGUGUUGAGCUUGUAUCCUGCAACAUUGUUAAAGUUGCUUAUUAGUUACAGGAGUUUUUGUUAAUAGAUUUCAUGGGAUUUUCUAUGUAGGGAAUCUUGUCAUCUGUGAAUUGCAGCAGUUUGAUGUCCUCCUUCCCAGUCUAAACCACUUCCUUUCCUUUCUUUCCUUACUAGAGUGGCUAAGACUUCUAGUACAAUGUUGAAUUCUAGCCGAGGUAAGAGUGGCUAUCCUCCUGGCCUUGUUCCUGAUCUUAGGGAGAAAACAUUUAGUCUUUCUCCAUGAAGUAGGACGGAAGGUGCAGGUAUUGUUGUAGGUGCUCUAUAUCAGGUUUUAAAAGCUCCCUUCUACUCCUGGUUGGCUGAGUGUUUUCUUCAUGAAUGGCUGUUGAAUUUUGUCGGAUGCUUUCUCUGCAUCAGUUGAUAUGAUCAUGGAGUUCUUUUUCUUUGGUAUGCUGAUAUGGUGGAUUGAUUGAUGGAUUUUUGAAUGCUGCACCAGCUUUGCAUUUCUGGGAUAAACCCCAGUAGAUCAUGAUGUAUUAUUCUUUUAAUAUAUUGAAUUUGAUUUGCUAUUACUGUCUCUGUUUGAUUCUGGUAUCAAGGUAAUGCUAAUCUGAUAAACUGAUUCAACAAGUGUUCCUUCUCUUCUACUUCCUUGAAGAGACCGUGUAGGGUUGCUGGUGUUUCUUCUUACACGUUUGGUAGGAUUUUCCAGGGAUACCAUCUGGGCCUGGAGAUUUCUUUCCUGUAAGUUUUUCAACUACAAAUUUGAUUUUUAGAUAGAUUCACGUCUAUUCAAAUGAUCUGUUUAGUUUUGAAUGAGCUUUGAUAAUUUGUUCCAUUUCACCUAAAUUGCCAAAUGUAGGUAUAUAGAGUCAUUCAUAGGAUUCUUGUCAUUUCUGUGGGGUCUGUAUGUAGCCUGUUUCAUGCCUGAUGUUGGUAAGCUGUGUCUUUACUUGUCUUUUUUUUUUUUUUUUUUUUUUUGGUCUGUCUGUGUAGAAGUUGAUGUAAUGUUAUCGACCUUUUCAAACAAUCAGCUUUGGGUUUCAUUAUCUCUAUUCUUUUUCUCAUUUCUGUUCCAACCUCUAUUUCUCUUAUUCUCCUUGGUUUCAAUUGAUUUUGAGUUUUUUGUUUUUUUUUUUCUAGUUUCUCAAGUAGAAGCUUUCAUUACUGAUUUGGGUUCUGUAGUCUUUCUACUACAAGCAUUUGCUGCUGUACAUUUAAUGCUGGCACUGCUGCAGCUGCAUCCUGCAGAUUUUGGUAGGUUGUUUUCUCAUUUUCAUUUUGUUCAAGAUCGUUUCUAACUUCCCUUGAUACUUGCCCUUUGGUCCAUGGACUAUUCAGAAGUGUACGGUUUAAUUUUUCUUGUGUUUGGAGAUUUUCCUCUUAAUUUUUUCUUACUUAUUGGUAGUUUUUCUCUUUUGGUCAGACAACAUUCUUUAUAUGAUUUCAACUAUUUUGCAUUUGAUAAGAUUUGUUUUAUGACCCAGGAUAUAGUGUACUUUGGGUAAACUUCCACAUGGCAUUGAAAAGAAUGUAGUAUAGUCUGCCUUGUUAUGUGGAGGGUUCUGUGCUUGUCAGAACAUCCAGUUAGUUCAUGGUCAUUCAGUUCAUUUAUGCAUUCGAAUUUGCUUUCUGUUUUCAGUAUAUGUUCAGUAUAUUGCUAUGUUCAGUAUAUUACUGAGAGAGUCCAGCUACUGUUUGUAGACUUGUUUCAGCUCUUUCAGCUCUGUCUGACUUGGUGCAGAUUUCUCUGGGAAAUUAGAGCUCUAAUGACCUCUUCGUAGGAUUUGUAUAAUGAUGGGAAAUUAAGUUGUCACUGGAUGAUUAUAGAACAUGAGUAUAUAAUUUUUUAUUGAGUGAUAGUCGCUUUACAAGGCUGUGUCAGUUUCUGGCAUACAGCACUAUUUUUCAGUCAUACAUGAAUAUACAUGUCUUCAUUUUCAUAUUCUUGUUCCCCGUGAGGUACCGCAAGAUCUUCUAUCUAUUUCCCUGUGUUAUACAGUCUAAACUUGUUUAUCUAUUCUAUAUAUGCCUGUCAGUAUCUACCAAUCUCAAACUCCCAGUCUGUCCCUUCCCACCCACCUCCCCGCUGGCAACCACAAGUUUGUAUUCUUUGUCUGUGAGUCGGUUUCUGUUUUAUAUUUAGGUUCAUUGCUCUUUCUUUUUUUUAGAUUCCGCCUAUAAGUGAUAUCAUAUGGUAUUUUUCUCUCUCUUUCUCUUACUUCACUUCUCCAGGGACAUCCAUGUUGCUGCAAAUGGCAUUAUGUUGUCAUUUUUAUGGCUGAAUAGUAUUCCACGGUAUAAAUAUACCACCACUUCUUUAUCCAGUCAUCUGUCGAUGGACAUUUAGGCUGUUUCCAUGUCUUGUCUGUUGUAAAUAGUGCUGCUGUGAACAUUGGGGUGCAGGUGUCUUUUUGAAUUAGGGUUCCCUCUGGAUGUAUGCCCAGGAGUAGGAUUACUGGGUCCUAUGGUAAGUCUAUUCCUAGUCUUUUGAGGAAUCUCCAUACUGUUUUCCACAAUGGCUGCACCAAACUGCAUUGCCACCAACAGUGUAGGAGGGUUCCCUUUUCUCCACACCCUCUCCAGCAUUUAUCAUCUGUGAACUUUUGUAUGAUGGCUAUUCUGACUGGUGUGAGGUGAUGAGUAUAUAAAUGUUUAAAAACAUUUCAGGUGAAAUUUAAAUGCCUAAGAACCUCAUCAUAUGGCUUUUUUUCUUUCUGCUAUUAGUUUUGUCAGGUGAAGUAAUUCUCCUUCAUUAAAUUCUGAAGAUCUGAAUCUGAUGAAGAUGCGAGAAGUGUUAAUAGUCCAGCUUUCCUAGUAACACUUUAUUUCUCGUGUAGUUUUCACACUGCCAGUUUUAUUGUGUUCAGUGUUUCUACCGCUAAUGUCUGUGAUUGACCUAACAAAAGGCUGACGGUAGUAAUUUUUUCUGAGCCGAAUCGUGAGGAGAUGGCCAAUAGUGUUUUCAGAUGGAGAGUCUGAGGAAAGGGGCAGAAGGGAGAGAGGGUGGAGUGGGGGUGGGGAAGGUGAGAGUGUGGGGCUGGGGAAGGAUACGGUAGAAGCAGAAACAGAAGUGAAGAGACACAAGAGGAAAAGCUCGGGCUCCUGGACUGUGUUUAGCCAUGUCUUUAUGCACAUGUGUAAUAUGAGGGUCAUCGGUUACCCACAGCAACACUGUGAGGUAAGCGUUUUCCAUGUUAUCGUCCCUUUUUACAGAUGACGAGGCUGAGACACGUAGAGGUUUACAGGUGAAGGAACUUACCCAGAGUCACCCAGCCAGCAAGGGCUGAGUCACAUUGGUACCCAGGCCAGAGAGAAACAGAGACGUGGUGUCGGCACCAAACUCUGGAACACACUGCAGCGUCCGGUGUCCCCUGGAUCAAAAGGCAGGUGACUGUGUCCAGCAGCAUGAAUCAGAUCACGCUGGGUCUCUGUAUGGAUUGAAGGUGACGUCUGUUCAGUGCAUGAAAGACUGGGGUGUCAUCUCCAUAUGCACACGUCACAGAGGACGGUUCCCCGUAGGUGUGAAGGUCUAUCCUUAUCUUUGCUCCUGCUGAUGUCAGUCAUCAUCCUCAUCCUUAUGGAAAGUAGCGUAUCCAUAGUAUAAUGAUAAACGGAGCAGUAGAUACAACAUUAUGAAGGCAUUACCUCCCCACCCACCUCAUCGUUUUUAAAAAUGCAUAGAAAGAAACCUGGAAGACAAGAGACCACAUAUUAAGUGUUUUUCUCUUAAAUGUGAAGUUCUAGGAAAUUUCCAAAUAACAUUUAUUAUUCACUUUUUAUUUUCUGUACUUCAUUAUUCCAUAGCCAAUUUUUCUAUUCUAAUUUAAAAGUAGUCCUUCUGAAGACCCAUUCUCUUAGGUAUCUUGACGUUUCAGGAUUUAAUUAAAAAAAAAUGUUUUUAUAUCUUUGCCAGGUGAAAAACCAGACAGCGCAUUGAAAGCGGGAGAAUGAUCUUUUGUACAGUAGGUGGGGAGCGGCGGGGAGGGGAGCAGAGAGGUCCUGAUAGAAGGUUAGGUAAGUCUGCAAGUGUAAACGAGGCCACACAGGAUAGAGGCCAAACCCAAAUCACACCUGGCACUUCCCUACAGAGAGAGUGGUGUUCUAUCCGCAUAAGUAUCCGUAUUAGGACUUCUUAGGCCUUCGCUCUUUUUUGGCUCCCGUGGCUCGGUGGGGCAACACGCAAUACUUACAAGGAAGUCCUGCUUUGAGCCAGGCUGUGGGUGAGGGUCGCACCCUCCCCUGCAGCACCGCCCCAUUUGUGGGCCAUCCGGAGCACUUUUCUUGAUGUCUGGGAGCCUGCAGAUUCAGAAGGGAAGAGAGGAAGAAGAUUCAUAGUGCGGUAGGUAGGUCCAGCCCUCCCCCAGUAAAUCCAUACGCAGAGAGUGAGAUGCAGGUGCAGUCAUCAGUUGGGAAGGAGCAGAGCUGGAUUGGGUGACUCAAGGAGGAAACGUGGAAGUGAAUGCAAAGGGGGGAAAACACAUUAAGAGGGGUGAACAGCUACAGUUCCCAUUUCUAGUACGAGGAUAGGGUGCUCCAUUAUUGUUGGGAGAGGGCUCCCUGCUCUGAGCGCUGGCAGGGCCUCACUGCACUUGGUGAUGAGCAUUCUGAGGACCCGCCAUCAGCCCUAACUAGGGGGUGCUGAGCAUGUGAAGCCAGGAAGGAGUCAGCCUUUACCACCGACAGACACAGAGAGCUUCUUAGGCCUGCUGAAGGUACUGCUGUGGCACCUCAGGGAAGCUCAAAGGUGCCCUGUAGCAAAACCACCAGUGCUUCCUCAGCCUCCUGAACCAGCUCAGGGAGGCUGCCCAGACACUACAUACUGAUCUGGAUGUGCCUGGUGGUAGCGGGUGUGUGUGUGUGUGUGUGUGUGUGUGUGUGUAAUGAAUAUGAUCUGUUUAUUUAAUGGUUCACCAAGCUCCAGCUGUGGUCAGGGCACUAUGCUGGGUGUCUGGGGGAUACAAAAAAAAGAAAAAGACACAUCAGUGCCUUCAUGGAGUUUAUGUGAAAUCAUGAGACAAUAGUGAAUCUAACAAUCACGCAAAUAAACGUGAAAACUGCUGCUGUGAUUGGUGAGAGCAGACAGGCACACCCCAGGGCUUCGGAGGAAAUGCCCUUAGCCAGAUCUUUAGGGAAGUCUUCCCUGAAGAGACAUGACUUGUGUUGAAAUGUGAAUGAUGCCCAGGAGUUAACUAAUCAAGAGGCUUCAGGAAGAGGGGACAGUCUAAGUGAAGUUUGGAAAAUUGGAGGGUGUGAAAGAAGCCCAAUAAGAGAGACAAGAGGAAGCUCUGCUUUCCAUAUGGCUAAAGAGGUGGGCAGGGGCUAGACCACGCCUCGGCGUCCUUGUGUAGGAGUGUAGUCUUUAUGUAAAGUCAGGGACAGCUCUGCAACAGGAAGAGAGGGAGGGGAGAGGGCGACAGAGACCGACACACUGAGCGGAUGUGAGAGGCGACUUAGAAGGGAGGUUUCACAGUCAGAAGGAGGGAGGCUUUGGACUAGAGCUGAUGGGGUGGGCACAGGAAAAAGUGGAAACAUCAAGUAUUUGGGAAGUAAAAUGGGCAGAACUCAGCAAGGAUUUGGACUUGAGGUGAAGGAGAGGGAGUUGCAAAAAUGGUUAUGACUAAGUUUCUGUGUUUACUCAUAGGAGUACGAUGGAGUUGUCCAUUGACAUGGGGAAUACUAGCAGACGGCCCAGUCUGUAAAGAAUUCCGAAAUAAGAUGUAUUUAUGAAAUCACGGUGUAGGUGGAUACGAUGUUCCUGGCAGCAUCAAUCAACAAUCAAAGAGUGCAAGCAGCCCAAACGCCAACCAACUAAUGAAUACAGUUUGAAAUACAGUGGUAUAUCCGUAUAAUAGAAUAUUAUUCAGCCAUCAAAAAGAACAGAGGACUGAUACAUGCUACAACAUGGAUGAAUCUUGAACACAUGAAGCAAAGUGAAAGAAGGCAGACACACAAGGCCGCCUAGUGCAAGAUUCUGUUUUUAUGACAUGUCCACAGUAGGCAUCUCCAUAAAGACGAAAGCAGGUUAGUGAGUGCCAGGGGCCGGUGGGAGGGGACGUUGCGGAGAGACUGCUCACGUUCUGCGAUUAUGUAUUGGGGUUGGUUGCACAGCAUGGUCAAUAUGGUAAAAACCAUUCAGAGGGUGAGUAUGCUACUUGCAUGACAGUUGAAUAAAAAUUUUUUUUAAAGAAAGGGAUGUACCUUGGGAUAUGCUUUGGGCCAUUGUGGGAAAUAGAGUCAGCCACACCAGAAGGAGCAGUAAGCACUCCAGAUCUUGCCUCCAUCAGUUUGAUCACCAGAUGCGACCACUGGAGUCAGUUUAGGUGUUUCCCUCUAUUCUGUGUUUUCUGCAUGGAAAAACAUCACGUAGACUCACGCACCCAGACGCUGGUGAGUAGGAGUACUUCUCGCUCCUCAUUUAAAAACUUCUCUGGCCAGUCAGAGUGGUUCCCCUCGUUGUCUUUCACAGCUAGUGGUGCUCCGUGGUAUAAUACGAACACAUCAUCUCUCACUUACCCUUCCACUGGUCAGUGCCUAUUACUGGACAUUUAGCACUCCCCCCACCCCCAGAAAUUUGCUGCUGUCACUGUACACACAGCUCUCUGCAGGUGUGAAUAUUUCUUUAAGACACUAUAGCAGUGGAACUGCUGGUCCAAAAAAUCCUUUGGCUAAACAGACAUCUCUCGAGUCCCGACUGUGUGCCUCACACUAUUCUAAAUGUGGAGGGACAUUGCAGAAUACGACUGACACGUGUCCCUCUUCAUGAAGCUGAGGGUGGGUGCAGGAUGGAGUUUAAAUUUUGAUGGAUGCUGCCACAGAGCCGUGCAAAGGUGCUUUCCGAACUCACACUUGCCUCAGUGGGGCAGGGGAAUGAAUGUCCCUUUGCUGGCACCCAGUGCCAUUCGUGUGGUGACGGCUCUAGGCAGGUGGCUGGACUCUAAAGAGCUUCAGGUCUGCAGCUGGAAUGAUGGGCAUGCGAGGAAGUGAGCUUCUCGGCGGCAUCUCACACCCUCAGUUGUGAGAUGACAAAGUUUAUUUGACACAGGAUGGCAGGUGUCUGACCCUUUGGUGGCUCUGCCUACUGAGUGUGUCAUCUCUGACCUGGCUGUAAGUCUGUGUGCCAGGGAUUGAGGCUGCUGGAACUUUGGGAGUUUAUGGUGUCUCAGGCUGUGAACGCUGGGCUUGGUGGGAUUUGGGGUACCACAGUCUGAGGUCUCUUCGAUGCUGGCUGCACGUAACGUUGUGAGCGAGCUCUCCACCUCCACGGCACCAGUGCUCUGAGCUGUUUGUGUGUGUCUGUGCCCGGGGGUGUGAGCUCUGUGAUUGUGUGGCUUCUGUGUCCAGGCUGUGAGGCCUGGGAGCUAUUGGGUUUCUGCAUUGCAGGUUAUGAAGUUGCUAAAAUGCAUGUAGACCUGUCAUGUCUGAGCUGAUUUUGUGUCUCUGGCCUCAUCGAUCGAGCCCGUAGGAGUUUCAGUUCACUGGAUUGUUUGGUGGUGUGUGUCCAAUGGAGUGAGGUCCCCUCGCUGCUGUUCUGUGGGUCUGUAACUGAGUUUAGCAUGUCAUUGAUGUCUUUGGGGUUUUGUGACUCAGUGUGUGCAGCCCCUGGGGUAUUUGUGAGUCUGUAUUCAGAGUAUGAUGCUGCAGAGCUGGCGGGAGACUGGGGUCCCAGAGUGAGGUCUGCUCUGUCUUUGGUUCUAUGUUCCAGAGGUUGAAACCUCUGAGUCCCUGGGGUGUUUUAUGCCGAUUGAGAGACUGUCAUUUGCCAGAGUUCCGACGUGAGGUGUUGCGACCUCUUCCUGAUGUUUCAGUGCGACAGUUUCCCAGAAGGAAAGGGAGAGGUUGAUUGAUCUGAGUUGAGUUGACUGUGGACUCGUCCACUGCCACUCCCAUCAGGAGGACAUGGAACACACCUGGGGCAAGUCACCUGAAUGUUGGGGGAAGGGAUGUAAAACUUCCCCUUGCUUUGCAAACAUAAAGAAAAGCCUGACAAGUGAAAGUAAGAGGAGAAAGAAGUACUGCAGCUGCUGAAACCGAAGCCUUUCACACUAGCACACCCAAAUUAAUCGAAAAUUGUGAACUUAGAUAACUGUUCCAAGAAGAGCAACCGUUUAUUGACCAAAUACCUAGGGUCAAGGUCCUCAGAUCAUUGAAGAAACAUGUUUUAAGCUCCACCCGGACACUACACGUACUCAGGUACUGUGGCCAGCCUGGGGAUGCAGGGAUGAUGUGGGCUGGAACCCGCAAGCAGCGGGACGCCACCUGCUGUGUGAGGAGAGCUAUGGCAGGAUUUAAGUCAUAGACCCUAGGAGCACAGCAGAGCGCAGGUGACUCCUCCCAAAGUGUGAUGGGGACUCGCGGGGGAGGAAGUGUGGAGGUUUGGUCAGGACACCCUUCUCAGGGAUGGGGAGGUUCUUGAGGUAGGACGUUUGUCCGCAUUUUACAGGCACACAAGCUGCAGGACGCAGACACGAAGACGGGUAGAGGCAGACUUCUGUUCCCAGUCUGUGGGGCUGCAGACCACCCGGCAGCUGGGUCAUGUCCAGAGUUCUCAUUGCCGCCCCAAAGCACUUCCUCUGCUCCUGCUCGCCUCUGGACCCCUAAUAUCUGGGAAACAGGCCGAGACUGGGGGCGACAUACCCAGGGGUCGGGGGUGAUUGCAAAAGCCUAUCCCAUAUGGCAAAGUGCCUCCCGCAGGGGAAGUUCAAGUCCUGCCUGGCUGUUGGCUCUGAGGCAAGGCUUUCCUGCCAGUGGUCUCCGGUUUUUGGCUUCAGGGCAGCUCCUCUGAAGGCAGAUACAGAUGGUCUUAGAACCUUUCAGGGUGGCUUUACCCUGCUGGGUGCCUGCAUUUCACAGGUGGAUGUGGUAUUGGGACAGCGAUGACCCUCCCGUCCUGGAACAGUAUCAGCAUCUCGGCAACUGAAACACAAGCCAAGUGUGUUGUGACAGCAAAGAAGCCUGGCUUUGGAGUCAGGCAGAACCGAGGCGUGACUCCCAGAUCCACCCUUUACUGCACCAGCGACCUAACCUCUUUCAGCUUCUUCCCUUGUCCACAGAAACUGGGCGCUGACACUUACCUGUCUGGGAUUUGGGGAAAUGAAGCCAUAUAUGCCCAGCUGACAUGAGCUCAAUACCUAGGCUCCAGGCAGAGCCGUUGACCCUGUGACCCGUGUUAGGGACAUAGUAGUGUGGAGGGAGGGAAGCAUGCCAGGGGCCCUGGGAGUCUACUCCGCCCUCUGCCUGGGGUAGGCGGUGGGGUAGUGCUGGUGGAGCUGGUGCCGUUCCCAUCCUUUUUGUUGUCUUUACAGCCCAAAGGCACAGACUUCAUUUCAUACUUGGAUGUGCUCUGCUCAGAGGAGUCGUAGUGAACGAAGUGAAUCAUCACUGUUGAGUCUGUAGCGGGUACAGCCAGCUGUGGGUGCACUCUCUCCACCGGAUCUGAUAGGAGCGGGCUGUUUCCUCCAGGGGUUGACGGCCCCUGGCGGGGACAUCUAAGGAGUAGCCCGAAGGCACUGUCCCAUUCCCUUAGAGGGUCCCCCAUACUGAAGAGGCAGCUGAGCCUUGUCUCUUUGAUGACCACAGGGACCAGGACAUCAGACCCCUUGCGGGGGAGGAGGGUACAGCUCAAAUGGUAAGAGCAUGUGCUUAGCGUUGCACGAGGUCCUGAGUUCAAUCCCCAGUGCCUCCUCUAAAAAUAAAUAAACCUAAUUACCUCUCCCUGUCCAAAAACAGAAAAACAAAAAACCCUUGCAAAGGGACAAGCAUUUAAUAUAUUGUCCUAACAGAAUACUCAGGCUAUCAACUAUAGUGGAGAAUAAUGACAGUCCCAUGGGUAGGGCAGUUGAAGGCCUGUUCCAUUUACAGAGUCACAGACACCAUAAAGUUACAGACUUUUCCCCAGCUUUGGGCUGAUUCCCUCCUCACUGUGAAGCAGGUGGUCUCCCUGGAUCCCUUUAUGCAGUUUUUUUUUUGAAAACUGCAGCCCAGUUCCAAACUCCAUAUUCAAAUGCAACGGUGGGCCCAUCUAAAAUGAGGGGAGAGCUUUGCUGUCUGUAUCUGCCUGUUCUUAGCAAGGAAGCCUUUCCCAGAAACACUCGGCCAUCAGAUUGCAUUUCAAACCAGCUCAUUGUGAACCGGAGUAAAACGAGUGUCCGUCUGGGAAAUGAAUAAUGAAAUCUCCAUCACGUUCCACUCGGUAAAAGUAUAAAUCUGUUAACUGUGGCUUUUCCUCCACGGCCUCCCCAGGUAAAACGGAAAUUCUCUACCUAACCGGACAGUGGAACCCAAGAAGGAACCACGCAGAUGAGGAGGGAGGAGGGGCAUGCCAGAUGGAGGGAAGACCACGUGCGAGGUUGUGAAAUCUGCAGCUGGGCGUGGGGUGGCUGGGGGAGGGAGGGCGAGUGUGAACACCCCGGCCACAUGAUGAGCACAGAGAUUCUGGGUGGCGGGAGUAUCAGGUAUCCCCAGAGCUGUAUUACUGCUGAAACCUAGGAGACUUUCCCUGACUGAAGUGGCGGAAGACAGGUACCAGUAUUGGACUCUGAACUUGUGAUCUCAUCAGAGAGCUUGGGAGCUCAAGCGACCGGCCAGGCUUUCCUCCCAGCUCGAGGGGAGAAGAUCAGUUGACCACAUAAGUGCAGACUGAUUUGUCAGAGCCCACAGCGUUAGCCGCCACCAACUGUAACCUCCGUACAGGCUGGGGUGACAUGCAACGAGCCGGUGACAUCGCUGUGUGUUCAGAGCUGGUGGCACCAAGUCUGGAGUAGGAGCCGGAAUCCAGUGAGGUCCAGAGACGUGCCCCAUGUCAAAUUCUAGGCCAGAGACCGAGCCACAGGCACCGAGAGACAAGAAAUAUUGGUAUGGAGUCAGCGUAAAGUACAAGGGCCAAAUAGCAAAUCUGAAUGUACCUGUAGCAAGAAAAGAGAUCCAAUCGUUCAACUCAGAACCUCCCCACAAAAGGAAGCCCUGGCUUCGUUGGUGAGCUCUGUCAAAUGGUUAAGGAAGAAACAAUACGCAUCCUCCACAGACUCUUCCAGACUAGAGGAGGGACCGUUUCCUAACUCGUCCUAGAACAACAUUACCCUGCUGCCAAUGCCAGACGUGACAUCACAAAGAAAGAACAGACCAGUCUUGGUCAUGGAUAGCGAGAGAUAAAUCCUCAACGAAAGGUUAGCAAACCAAAUCCAGCAACAUUUACAAAGGGCUAUGCAACAUAAUCAGUCGAGCUCUAUCCCAGGAUUGCAAUAUUGGUUUAACGUUCAACUUCCGUUAAGGUAACCACCACCUUGAUGUAAGAAAGGACGGAAACCACCUGUCAUCUAGAAAGACAACGAAGAAGCACUGGACAAAAUUCAAGAGCUGCUGAUGAUAAAGAUGCUCAGCCAACUCGAGAUAGGAGGGAGCAGCCUCAUUCUGAUGAAAAUCUCUCCCGGGAAAUAUCCAGCUCCCGUCACGUCAUAUUUCAGAGGGUGAGAAUGAAGGCUGUCCCCUGGGGCUCCAGACCAAGACAGGGAUGCCUGCUCCAGCCACGGGUGUCCAGCACGGACUGAAGGUCCUAGUCUGUGCAUCAUGCAGGGCAAGAAAUGAAAUAUGGAGACACUGGAAAUGAAACCUGUGUCCACGCAAGGACCCGUACUUUGGUGUUCACGGCAGCAUUAUUCGUAAUCUCAGAAAAGUGGGAACGGUCUAAAAGUCUGUCAGCUGGUGACGGAUAAACAGAAGGUGCAAUACUCAUACGGUAGAAUGCCAGUGAUGGAUGGAACGGGACGGACUUCUGAUUUCUGCUAAGACAUGGGCGAGCCUCGGAAGCAUUCUGAUGAGUAACAGGACCCAGGCAGAAUGCCCCUUAGUACCUGAGUCAGUUUAUAUGAAAUGCCCAGAAAGGGCAGAUCUACAGACACAGACAUGAGAUUAGAGGACGCCUGGGCCUGUGGGUACUAAUGGGGAUAGACAGCCGGUGGGAACAAGGAACCUUACUGGGGUGCUGGCAGCGUUCCAGAACUGGAUUGUGGUGACGGUUGCACAGCUGUGUAAAUUUACUAAAAGUCACUGCAUUGGCCCCAUUAUAUGGGCGAAUCUUCUGGUGUAUAAAUUAUACCUCAGUGAAGCAGUUUAGAAAAGAUAAUGCAAACGCCCUGGUAAGUCAUGCAGGGAAGGAUAUGCUGUUGCUGUUGUAACAUAAGGACCCCGCCCCUCUAUUUCCAUGUCCUGGGGUCCUGCGUCCUCCAUGGGUCCAAGAUGCUCCCGCCAGACAGGGUCACUGUGCACGUAGGACAGAAUUGUGUGUCUGUGUGUCUUCACGCACAGGUGCCCUCUGUGCGAGCACAAUUCAGUGGCUCCGGACAGCCUCCUGUAAUCCACCCUGCGUUUGACAUCGUAUACUGAGGUGAUUUUCCAUUCUUCUCAGAUCCCAGGGACCAGGCUUCUGUUUCCCUGGUAACCGAUCUCAGCCGUCAGCUCCAGUACCUGGUUGCAGAAAUACUUGUAGCGCGGGGAGAGGCUUGUUCCCCCUCGCCCCCGUCCACACACACGGCCCCCUGCGUGAGCUCAGCGACCAGGGAGGAUGCUCAGCAGAGCGGUAACCAAGACAACGGAACUCCAGCCUCCUUCUUCCCCCAGGACCGAGGCCCGUUCCCUCCCCUUCACCUGCCUGGCUGUGUGGUAAAAAAAAGGAGACUCGGGGGCAUUGACACCCUCCUGAGUCCCUGAAAUUGUCUAAAUAUGUCAAAAACGGCUCUGGAAUGAGAAGACACAAUGAAAUUUCAAAAAUUUUCAUGACUAACAACUAUGGCUUGGAAGUCCAAGAUUCUCUUUAAAGGCAGGACGACGAAGCAGCAUGUGAUGAUGCUUCUCCACCUCAGCUGGGCCUCAGAUCUCCCCUGGGGACACCUUAGAAGAACAGGGGCUGGCGCACCAUCCCCAGGGAGUCUGAAGGAGCAGGUCUGGAAUGUGGCCCAGACGUGAGCAUGAUUUGAAAACUUCCCUGAUGAAAGCCGGGAUUGCGGCUGUGGAAACAGAACCAUCCUUAUAGGAGGAAUUCUGAAAUCAGACUUCGAGGCUCCUGUUUAUAAGGGAAGCAAGUUUUCAUCAUGAUCCGCUAUGCUUGGCAGAUAUCUUGGGCUGAGGAAAGGGAGAACAUGUCCAGUAAAUGGGUACCUUACACCUGACCCUGGACUUACUCUUCUCCAUGUUCCUGAAAGCAAAAUUUUGCACUUAAAGCCCUGCAUUUGCUCAUCAAACUUAGUACUUUGAGUUCUUGUCAGGAUCCCUUAUGCUUCGUUACUUCAAAACAUUCGUAAAACGUGGUAGAGGUAACAGCACGGGACAGAGCAGACUGGUUCCUUUAAAAUGAAAGAUGAGCAAGAAUCUUACCGUUGCUGUAGAAGGAUCAGCUGUCGGCUCAUCUGCUGAAUGUGCUGAGUUGCAUUUCUUUACUUUUUGGUAUAAUUUAUGUCAUCGAAUUAACUCCCGUGCUCAGAUAAGGCCAAACAGCACCAGCAUAUUUCUUGUGAAAAAUAAAAUCGCGCAAUCCCUUGUUUCGUGCACACCCACGGACACCCACCUGCCCAAACUCUCUCUCUCAGGGGUCUCUUCCGCAUCCUCAUCUGCACGUUCCCAGAUGGUGGGCUUACACUGCUGCGUCCUGACUCACCGGGGUUACACAUUGUGUGUCGAGUUCUUGCAAAGCGCAAGGCUUUCACUCUCUCGGGCAUGUUACAAGCCCAGGUUCCCCUCCUCAGAGAGCCUGUUGAGGCGCGCACCCAAAGCAGGGCCUGGGCCGGUGCUCAGGGCUCAUUCAGUGUGUCUUCCAAGAACAAGGCCUCACAAGGAAACUCACCCCCAUCCGUGGCAACGUGAAGAUCGUGGUUUAGCCUUUUCCAGAGCCGGCCCACGGCAGUCGUGGCCUGAUGCCGAUCACACCCAGCAGCAUCCCGGGAGUUUGGUUUAGGGAUCUGGGUGGGUGACCGUGUCCAUCCAUGAGAGGAGAAACACUGGUUUGGGGCCACCAGCAGAUUCGCAGGGCUUGUGGCAGAUCCGAGUGCAGAUACCCCUUAAGUCUCUGCCUCCGGGGACUCUGGGGCCCAGUUAAACCUACUUUGGUAGACCUGAUAAUGGGAAAGGGGAUAGAGAUGAAAAGCAUACAAGGGGAUAGAGAUGAAAACAAGCCAGGUGGGUAAAAGCUCGGGGGCGGGGGGAACUGGCCACCCAGGGAUCGUGUAGAGGAGAAGAGGAGGGCAGGGGUUGGAAGCCAGGGGGAAACAACCCAGAUGUAGGAGGAGAUCAAAGCAAAUGGACCAACAAGGAGACUUAGAAGUCGUGGACUGAGAGGUAGGAGGAAACCAGGAUGGACUCCUGUCACAGAUUCUGACAAAGGGAAGAAUUUUGAAAAAGGAAUGUCACUGUGGCCAAGACGGCACUGGAUACGACGGCUUGACAAAUGGAGCUCUUUGGAGACGUUAGGCAGGGGAUGUCCACGGAUGGGAGGACACUGAGCAGGAAACAAGAGGUAACCAAGCAAGGAUGCUACUGGCGUCUACACUUCCAAGAGGCUUGGCUUGAGAGGAACAAAAGAAGCAGAGGGUAGUAGAAGCAGAAGUGCUUUCGGGGUUUGUAAUAGUCUGUCCCCCCAAAGAGGGGGAAAACCAGGAUGCAGGUU